GUUUGGUUUCCUCUAAUAUGGAUCCUAAUGCUGUGUGUGUGUGUGUGUGUGUGUGUGUGUGUGUGUGUGUGUGUAGGAAUAGAAGAACGUCUUGUUCAUUCCCAGCAGUCCUCUGUUUGAAAAGGCUUAGUGUGCAGGCAGACAGACAGGUUGGGGUUUGAAAAGGCUUAGUGUGCAGGCAGACAGACAGGUUGGGGUUUGAAAAGGCUUAGUGUGCAGGCAGACAGACAGGUUGGGGUUUGAAAAGGCUUAGUGUGCAGGCAGACAGACAGGUUGGGGUUUGAAAAGGCUUAGUGUGCAGGCAGACAGACAGGUUGGGGUUUGAAAAGGCUUAGUGUGCAGGCAGACAGACAGGUUGGGGUUUGAAAAGGCUUAGUGUGCAGGCAGACAGACAGGUUUGGGUUUGAAAAGGCUUAGUGUGCAGGCAGACAGACAGGUUUGGGUUUGAAAAGGCUUAGUGUGCAGGCAGACAUACAGGUUUGGGUUUGAAAAGGCUUAGUGUGCAGACAGACAGGUUGGGGAUUGAAAAGGCUUAGUGUGCAGACAGACAGGUUUGGGGUUGAAAAGGCUUAGUGUGCAGACAGACAGGUUUGGGUUUGAAAAGGCUUAGUGUGCAGACAGACAGGUUUGGGUUUGAAAAGGCUUAGUGUGCAGACAGACAGGUUGGGGAUUGAAAAGGCUUAGUGUGCAGACAGACAUACAGGUUUGGGUUUGAAAAGGCUUAGUGUGCAGGCAGACAGACAGAUUGGGGUUUGAAAAGGCUUAGUGUGCAGACAGACAGAUUGGGAUUUGAAAAGGCUUAGUGUGCAGGCAGACAGGUUGGGGUUUGAAAAGGCUUAGUGUGCAGACAGACAGGUUGGGUUUUGAAAAGGCUUCGUGCGCAGACAGACAGACAGGUUGGGGUUUGAAAAGGCUUCGUGUGCAGACAGACAGGUUGGGUUUUGAAAAGGCUUAGUGUGCAGACAGUCAGACAGAUUGGGGUUUGAAAAGGCUUAGUGUGCAGACAGACAGACAGAUUGGGGUUUGAAAAGGCUUAGUGUGCAGGCAAACAGACAGAUUGGGGUUUGAAAAGGCUUAGUUUGCAGGCAGACAGACAGGUUGGGGUUUGAAAAGGCUUAGUGUGCAGACACAGGUUGGGGUUUGAAAAGGCUUAGUGUGCAGACAGACAGGUUGGGUUUUGAAAAGGCUUCGUGUGCAGACAGACAGACAGACAGGUUGGGGUUUGAAAAGGCUUCGUGUGCAGACAGACAGGUUGGGUUUUGAAAAGGCUUCGUGUGCAGACAGACAGGUUGGGGUUUGGAGUGUUUGAGCGUCACGUCAUCGGGUUACCUGGAGGAGAGGAGAUCCAGUGGCUCAUAGUAACAGCAAUCUUUAGCAAAAUGUCUGGGACUGAGGGUAAGAUCCAUUCAUGUGACUAGAGGAUUAUUAAGGUCAAAUGUUUACGGUAG